AGAGUUUGAUCCUGGCUCAGGAUGAACGCUGGCGGCGUGCCUAAUACAUGCAAGUCGAGCGAACGGACGAGAAGCUUGCUUCUCUGAUGUUAGCGGCGGACGGGUGAGUAACACGUGGAUAACCUACCUAUAAGACUGGGAUAACUUCGGGAAACCGGAGCUAAUACCGGAUAAUAUUUUGAACCGCAUGGUUCAAAAGUGAAAGACGGUCUUGCUGUCACUUAUAGAUGGAUCCGCGCUGCAUUAGCUAGUUGGUAAGGUAACGGCUUACCAAGGCAACGAUGCAUAGCCGACCUGAGAGGGUGAUCGGCCACACUGGAACUGAGACACGGUCCAGACUCCUACGGGAGGCAGCAGUAGGGAAUCUUCCGCAAUGGGCGAAAGCCUGACGGAGCAACGCCGCGUGAGUGAUGAAGGUCUUCGGAUCGUAAAACUCUGUUAUUAGGGAAGAACAUAUGUGUAAGUAACUGUGCACAUCUUGACGGUACCUAAUCAGAAAGCCACGGCUAACUACGUGCCAGCAGCCGCGGUAAUACGUAGGUGGCAAGCGUUAUCCGGAAUUAUUGGGCGUAAAGCGCGCGUAGGCGGUUUUUUAAGUCUGAUGUGAAAGCCCACGGCUCAACCGUGGAGGGUCAUUGGAAACUGGAAAACUUGAGUGCAGAAGAGGAAAGUGGAAUUCCAUGUGUAGCGGUGAAAUGCGCAGAGAUAUGGAGGAACACCAGUGGCGAAGGCGACUUUCUGGUCUGUAACUGACGCUGAUGUGCGAAAGCGUGGGGAUCAAACAGGAUUAGAUACCCUGGUAGUCCACGCCGUAAACGAUGAGUGCUAAGUGUUAGGGGGUUUCCGCCCCUUAGUGCUGCAGCUAACGCAUUAAGCACUCCGCCUGGGGAGUACGACCGCAAGGUUGAAACUCAAAGGAAUUGACGGGGACCCGCACAAGCGGUGGAGCAUGUGGUUUAAUUCGAAGCAACGCGAAGAACCUUACCAAAUCUUGACAUCCUUUGACAACUCUAGAGAUAGAGCCUUCCCCUUCGGGGGACAAAGUGACAGGUGGUGCAUGGUUGUCGUCAGCUCGUGUCGUGAGAUGUUGGGUUAAGUCCCGCAACGAGCGCAACCCUUAAGCUUAGUUGCCAUCAUUAAGUUGGGCACUCUAAGUUGACUGCCGGUGACAAACCGGAGGAAGGUGGGGAUGACGUCAAAUCAUCAUGCCCCUUAUGAUUUGGGCUACACACGUGCUACAAUGGACAAUACAAAGGGCAGCGAAACCGCGAGGUCAAGCAAAUCCCAUAAAGUUGUUCUCAGUUCGGAUUGUAGUCUGCAACUCGACUACAUGAAGCUGGAAUCGCUAGUAAUCGUAGAUCAGCAUGCUACGGUGAAUACGUUCCCGGGUCUUGUACACACCGCCCGUCACACCACGAGAGUUUGUAACACCCGAAGCCGGUGGAGUAACCUUUUAGGAGCUAGCCAUCGAAGGUGGGACAAAUGAUUGGGGUGAAGUCGUAACAAGGUAGCCGUAUCGGAAGGUGCGGCUGGAUCACCU
rnacentral:rRNA from 1 species